rnacentral:rRNA from 1 species
ACAGUGGACGCGAGCAUCUUUGUUGUAAGUGUUUAAGAGCGUACGGUGGAUGCCUUGGCACCAGGAGCCGAUGAAGGACGUAGGAGGCUGCGAUAAGCCUCGGGGAGCUGUCAACCGAGCUGAGAUCCGAGGAUGUCCGAAUGGGGAAACCCAGCCACAGUGAUGUGUGGUUACCCGCGCCUGAAUAUAUAGGGCGUGUGGAGGGAACGUGGGGAAGUGAAACAUCUCAGUACCCACAGGAAGAGAAAACAACAUGUGAUUCCGUGAGUAGUGGCGAGCGAAAGCGGAAGAGGCUAAACCAUGGGUGUGUGAUAGCCGGCGGGCGUUGCAUUCGUGGGGUUGUGGGAUCCGUCUUGUCAAUUCUGCCGGAUUGGCCGACAGUAAGAAAUCAUCGUGUUAGUCGAAGUGGUCUGGAACGGCCUGUCGUAGAGGGUGAGAGUCCCGUAGACGAAAACAUGGUGACUGUCGUGACGGACACCCGAGUAGCAGCGGGCCCGUGAAAUCUGCUGUGAAUCUGUCGGGACCACCCGAUAAGCCUGAAUACUCCCUGGUGACCGAUAGCGGACUAGUACCGUGAGGGAAAGGUGAAAAGUACCCCGGGAGGGGAGUGAAAUAGUACCUGAAACCGUGCGCUUACAAUCCGUCAGAGCCUGCGCCACUUUUGGUGGGUGGGUGAUGGCGUGCCUUUUGAAGAAUGAGCCUGCGAGUUAGCGGCAUGUCGCGAGGUUAACCCGUGUGGGGUAGCCGUAGCGAAAGCGAGUCCGAAUAGGGCGUGUGUAGUGGCAUGUUCUAGACCCGAAGCGGAGUGAUCUACCCAUGGCCAGGGUGAAGCGACGGUAAGACGUCGUGGAGGCCCGAACCCACUUAGGUUGAAAACUGAGGGGAUGAGCUGUGGGUAGGGGUGAAAGGCCAAUCAAACUCCGUGAUAGCUGGUUCUCCCCGAAAUGCAUUUAGGUGCAGCGUCGCGUGUUUCACUCUGGAGGUAGAGCUACUGGAUGGCCGAUGGGCCCCACAAGGUUACUGACGUCAGCCAAACUCCGAAUGCCAGAGUGUGAGAGCGCGGCAGUGAGACUGCGGGGGAUAAGCUUCGUAGUCGAGAGGGAAACAGCCCAGAUCGCCGGCUAAGGCCCCUAAGCGUGUACUAAGUGGAAAGGAUGUGGGGUCGCGAAGACAACCAGGAGGUUGGCUUAGAAGCAGCCACCCUUGAAAGAGUGCGUAAUAGCUCACUGGUCAAGUGAUCCUGCGCCGACAAUGUAGCGGGGCUCAAGUACACCGCCGAAGCCGCGGCAUUCACAUAACACCCAUGCGGGUCUAGGGCCUGUGUGCAGUGGUGUGGAUGGGUAGGGGAGCGUCGUGCAGCCAUGGAAGCGCCGGAGUGAUCCAGGUGUGGAGGCUGCACGAGUGAGAAUGCAGGCAUGAGUAGCGAAAGAGCGAGUGAGAAACUCGUCCGCCGAAUGACCAAGGGUUCCUGGGCCAGGUUUAAUCCGCCCAGGGUGAUCGGGACCUAAGGCGAGGCCGACAGGCGUAGUCGAUGGACAACGGGUUAUAUUCCCGUACCCGUGUGAACGCGCCCCUGGUGAAUCAUGAUGCUAAGCGCCCUGAAGCCGCCUUCGAACCUUCGGGUUCUCCGGUGUGUGGAUGCGCGUGAACCGAUCUGGUAGUAGCCAAGCGAUGGGGUGACGCAGAAAGGUAGCUGAGCCAGUCAGUGGUAAUACUGGUGUAAGCGUGUAGGGCGUGACCUAGGCAAAUCCGGG